rnacentral:rRNA from 1 species
AUUGAACGCUAGCGGCAUGCCUUACACAUGCAAGUCGAACGGUAACAGGUCUUCGGAUGCUGACGAGUGGCGAACGGGUGAGUAAUACAUCGGAACGUGCCUAGUAGUGGGGGAUAACUACUCGAAAGAGUGGCUAAUACCGCAUGAGAUCUACGGAUGAAAGCAGGGGAUCGCAAGACCUUGUGCUACUAGAGCGGCCGAUGGCAGAUUAGGUAGUUGGUGGGAUAAAAGCUUACCAAGCCGACGAUCUGUAGCUGGUCUGAGAGGACGAUCAGCCACACUGGGACUGAGACACGGCCCAGACUCCUACGGGAGGCAGCAGUGGGGAAUUUUGGACAAGGGGCGAAAGCCUGAUCCAGCAAUGCCGCGUGCAGGAUGAAGGCCUUCGGGUUGUAAACUGCUUUUGUACGGAACGAAAAGCCCCGGGUUAAUACCCUGGGGUCAUGACGGUACCGUAAGAAUAAGCACCGGCUAACUACGUGCCAGCAGCCGCAGUAA